AUUGAACGCUGGCGGCAGGCCUAACACAUGCAAGUCGAACGAGUGGCGGACGGGUGAGUAAUGUCUGGGAAACUGCCUGCUGGAGGGGGAUAACUACUGGAAACGGUAGCUAAUACCGCAUACCAUCAGAUGUGCCCAUAUGGUAUUAGCUAGUAGGUGAGGUAACGGCUCACCUAGGCGACGAUCCCUAGCUGGUCUGAGAGGAUGACCAGCAACACUGGAACUGAGACACGGUCCCAACGCGUACGGGAGGCAGCAGUCGGGAAUAUUGCACAAUGGGCGCAAGCCUGAUGCAGCCAUGCGGCGUGUAUGAAGAAGGCCUUCGGGUUGUAAAGUACUUUCAGCUGGGAGGCGUUACCCGCAGAAGAAGCACCGGCUAACUCCGUGCCAGCAGCCGCGGUAAUAC
rnacentral:rRNA from 1 species